AACAAUAUGCUAUAAUAAAAAGGCAGAAAGGUUAAGGCGGUGGCUCUUAUUUCUGAAAGGUAGGUGAGGCCUAUGGGCAGUUCAUCAAAAUCUAACAGAAAGGAGGAGCCAAAGCAUUGACAGCUUUUGAAGUGGUACAAACCCUUUUAGGCUUUAGUAGCUUUACUAUUGCACUUAUCAGUUUGUG
rfam:Streptococcus equi subsp. zooepidemicus H70, complete genome